AACGAACGCUGGCGGCAUGCCUAACACAUGCAAGUCGAACGAGAUCUUCGGGUCUAGUGGCGCACGGGUGCGUAACGCGUGGAAUCUGCCCUUUGGUUCGGAAUAACAGUUGGAAACGACUGCUAAUACCGGAUGAUGACGAAAGUCCAAAGAUUUAUCGCCAGAGGAUGAGCCCGCGUAGGAUUAGCUAGUUGGUGUGGUAAAGGCGCACCAAGGCGACGAUCCUUAGCUGGUCUGAGAGGAUGAUCAGCCACACUGGGACUGAGACACGGCCCAGACUCCUACGGGAGGCAGCAGUGGGGAAUAUUGGACAAUGGGCGAAAGCCUGAUCCAGCAAUGCCGCGUGAGUGAUGAAGGCCUUAGGGUUGUAAAGCUCUUUUACCCGGGAUGACAAUGACAGUACCGGGAGAAUAAGCUCCGGCUAACUCCGUGCCAGCAGCCGCCGUAA
rnacentral:rRNA from 1 species